rnacentral:tRNA from 1 species
UGGGGUGUAGCCCAGGGUUAGAGAAUUUGCCUAGCGUGCAUGAGGCCCUGGGUUUGAUCCCCAGCACCACAA